rnacentral:lncRNA from 1 species
AUUACACAUAUACAUAUAUAUGAACAAUUUAAAGUUUACUCAAGAAUGUGUAUUUUUUCUACAUUAUAAAAUGUGGUAUUGGGUUCUAGGAAAUUAUUUCAAACUACACGAUCAUUUGAAGAAGAUAGCUCUUAGGAAAAAAGAGAUGAUCUCCUCUAACUUCUUAGAACCACUGCACUGCCAAAUGGGGAUUUAUUUCUAUUGCCUCAUCCAAGUCAGUUCCAAAGCUUAACUCUUCCAUGAAGUUUUCCAUGAUCAAUCCUGCCUAAGAGAACAGGAACAAACCAGAGAAAAUUAUAUGUGUGAGAAUGGAAUAAGGGCUAUCAGAAGAUAGAAAUUUUGACAUAUUUCUGGAAGAUGGAAGCAUAAAGCAGACUGGAAGAAGCUCUAAUCCAGAAAACAUACAGAAGCCUUCAACGGAUGUGUGGGCUGCUCUUCCUGAGAGAACCAUAAGAAGAUUCCAAGCUUGGCAACGGCAGGUAUGGGGACCAGCAAUAGGAAAUAAGGUGAUAAAAAUGCUACUUCCCUUGUAAAGAGAAAGGGCAGCUGCCUACAAAACAACAGUGAUCUUCUAAGGUGUGAGCAAAAGAAAAUGUAUUGUGCAAUAAAUCUAUGAAGCAAGGAGUUAUUUCAGGACUACUUGAUGACGCCAAAUGUGGUCUUUUGAAGGUUCACAGGUGCUGUGAUGUCUUUCACAGGCAAUGGAUAAAGCAUCCUGCAUUGUCCUAGGCACACUCUGUAGGGAAGAUAUGGGAAUCUGAAGUCAACUUUGCCAAAAUUGUGAGGAUUGCUAAUGUGAGAUGAGAAUCUACUCACAAACAUUAAGAAGGUAACAUGAUGAGUGAAGUAAAGAUAACCAACCACGGACCUUUCUUACAAUCUUAGAAUGAUGAGACUGAGAAUUAUUUCAAAUAUAUGAUCUCUUCUAUAAAGACCAAAGAAAUUCUACAAUGCCCAAGCAUUUUUAGAGGGGCUGCUACUAAGAGAAAGCAUGCUCUCAGAUAACCGUUUUCAGAUAACGUCGAGAAAGUGAGAGUAUACACAGAUCAACAUGAUGGUCCACUUAACGGGGGAAGAGAGUAAAAUGUUGGUGUCACUGACAAGGAUGGCAACAUUUAAAUGUUCAGAUCCUUACAGGAGAAGCAUUGCAGUCACUUGACAAUCUCAAGCUAUGUGUUUCUUCAGUGCUUCUUGAAAACAUUUAUAAUACAGAAGAUGGUUUUAAAAAAUGUAUAACUUUUUCAAUGAAAAUGUGAAUUUCAACA